GGUCUGCAAAUCAAGAGAGAAAGUAGGCAGAAAAUUGAGCCAGAAGGACUCAUAUAUUGGAGACUCCAUGAGGAUGGAGAAAAUGCAGCAACUUGCCCGAAGUCCCAAAUCUGCUCUCUGUCUUCAAGAACUGAACAAGGAUUCAAUAUGGAUUAGUGAUUAAGAGCUUGGGCUAUGGAUUCAGAACAACCUGGGUUCAAGUCCUGGAUCUGCUCCUUACAAGCUGUGUGAGUUGAAACAUCAAUUUAAAAAUUGAGUGUUCAGGGCGUACCUGGAACAUUGCCAGUCUACGUGGUGGAUGAAAAAGACAGAUGGCAAACCACGUGCUGGAAGACAUGUGUCAACUCUGUCUACACGUCACUAGCCAACACAAGUCCCAUAGCCACUCCUGAAUUCAACAGUGCAGGAGUGGAUAGUAUUCCUCCAGAGUGGGGUAUUGAAAGGAAGAAAAUUGUAAUGUUUUAUCAUAGUGUAUAAUUUGCCAGCUAUUUAUUCUGAGCCCUACCACUCUGUAAACUUUCUGGCACAACGUAGGCACUUUUGAAUGAGAAUCUUAUUAUACUGUCAACUGUUCUAGGGGCCCCUUCUGCUCCCAGUUUGCCAUAAAGAGGCGUCAGACCCCAAAAGCCCA
rnacentral:lncRNA from 1 species